rnacentral:rRNA from 1 species
AACGAACGCUGGCGGCAGGCUUAACACAUGCAAGUCGAGCGCCCCGCCAGGGGAGCGGCCGACGGGUGAGUAACGCGUGGGAACGUACCUUUUGGUUCGGAACAACUCCGGGAAACUGGAGCUAAUACCGGAUAAGCCCUAACGGGGAAAGGUUUAUCGCCGAAAGAUCGGCCCGCGUCUGAUUUGCUGUUGGGUGGGGUAACGGCGCACCAAGGCGACGAUCAGUAGCUGGUCUGGGAGGAUGAUCAGCCACACGGGGACUGAGACACGGCCCAGACUCCUACGGGAGGCAGCAGUGGGGAAUAUUGGACAAUGGGCGCAAGCCUGAUCCAGCCAUGCCGCGUGAGUGAUGAAGGCCUUAGGGUUGUAAAGCUCUUUUGUCCGGGAAGAUAAUGACGGUACCGGAAGAAUAAGCCCCGGCUAACUUCGUG